AUUGAACGCUGGCGGCAUGCUUUACACAUGCAAGUCGAACGGUAACAGGGUGCUUGCACCGCUGACGAGUGGCGAACGGGUGAGUAAUGCGUGGAUAACCUGCCCUGGUAUCUGGGAUAACAUCUCGAAAGGGGUGCUAAUACCGGAUAAGCCCACGGAACCUUCGGGUUCUGAGGGAAAAGGUGGCCUCUGUCUCAACAUACUGUAUCAAGAUGGGCCCGCGUACCAUUAGCUAGUUGGUAGGGUAAUGGCCUACCAAGGCGACGAUGGUUAGCUGGUCUGAGAGGAUGAUCAGCCACACUGGAACUGAGACACGGUCCAGACUCCUACGGGAGGCAGCAGUGGGGAAUUUUGCGCAAUGGGGGAAACCCUGACGCAGCAACGCCGCGUGAGUGAUGAAGGCCUUCGGGUCGUAAAGCUCUGUCAGAGGGGAAGAAAUGAUGAGGUGCUAAUACCACUUCUUCUUGACGGUACCCUCAAAGGAAGCACCGGCUAACUCCGUGCCAGCCGCCGCCGUAA
rnacentral:rRNA from 1 species